rnacentral:tRNA from 1 species
GAGUCUAUAGCUCAAUUGGCAGAGCAUUUUGCUCAUAACGAAAUGGCUAGUGGUUCAAGCCCACUUAGACUCA